rnacentral:misc_RNA from 1 species
GAUGAAGAACGCAGUAAAAUGCGAUAAGUAAUGUGAAUUGCAGAAUUCAGUGAAUCACCGAAUCUUUGAACGCACAUUGCGCCCGCUGGUAUUCCGGCGGGCAUGCCUGUUCGAGCGUCAUUUCAACCCUCAAGCCCCCGGGUUUGGUGUUGGGGAUCGGCUCUGCCCUUCUGGGCGGUGCCGCCCCCGAAAUACAUUGGCGGUCUCGCUGCAGCCUCCAUUGCGUAGUAGCUAACACCUCGCAACUGGAACGCGGCGCGGCCAUGCCGUAAAACCCCAACUUCUGAAUGUUGACCUCGGAUCAGGUAGGAAUACCCGCUGAACUUAAGCAUAUCAAUAAGCGGAGGA